AAUAUUUAAAAUUAAAGAUAAACAUCUAGCUUUCCCCAGUUUCUUUAAUCUUUACUUUUAUUUCCUCCUUUACCCUUCCUGGAAAGAAAUGUUUAUAUAUUUUUACAUACAUGUCUGUAUAUUUAUUUUUUACUUUCACAACAUUAAUAGAGUAUGGUGCUUUGUCCAAAUCAAAAUGUGUAGAACUUCCUUCUUCUUUUAAUUAUAUGCAUAGAUUCCAGUGUUUAAAUUUCGUGUAACUACCCUUCCCACGUCCCUUCUUUCUGCCCUCUUGCCAUUAUCAGCUUCUUCAAAUCUAUCAUAUACACAACAGCUGUGAUGAUUAAUACUGAGUGUCAGCUCAAGUGGAUUGAAGGAUGCAAAGUAUUGUUCCUGUGUGUCUGUGAGGGUGUUGCCAAAGAUGUGUCUGUGUGGUGUGUCUGUGAGGGUGUUGCCAAAGGAGAUUAACAUUUGAGUCAGUGGACUGGUAGUGGCAGACCCACCCUCAAUCUGGCUGGACACAAUCUAAUCAGCUGCCAGCGAGGUUAGUAUAAGGCAAAAGAUGGAAGAGGAGACUGUCUGAGUCUUCCGGCUUUCAUCUUUCUCCCAUGCUGGAUGCUUCCUGGCCUUAAGCAUCAAACUUCAAGUUUUUCAGCUUUUGUACUCUUGGACUUACACCAGUGGUUUGCCAGGGGCUUUUGGGCCUUUGGCCACAGACUGAAGGCUGCACUGUCGACUUGCCUGCUUUUGAGGUUUUGGAACUCAAACUGAUUCACCACUGGCUUCCUUGCUCCUCAACUUGCAGAUGGCCUAUCAUGGGAACUUACUUUAUGAUUGCGUGAAUCUUGGUUUCCCUGUGGGCAAUGAUGUAUGGAACUUACGAACAAUAUGGGCAGAUCAACAAACAGCACAUAAAGAACUAUUAUCCUCCAUUUACAGUUAAGUAAACUGAGGCCCUGGAAAAUGAGGCACUUUAGUUUUAAAAGCUGCUAAAGUCUAUUGCUACAUCAUGCAGACAAUGAACAAUGAGUGUUGGAGAAUGUCCUUUCCUGCCUCUUAAUCAUUCUGAAUCGAAACUAAUGAUAAACUUCAAUCAAUGACAUUGAGGGGAUGGGUAAGGGAUAAUAUAAAGAGUCCUCUAUGCAUGCUAAUUUGUUGUUACAUGUGACCUAAGAUGGUGGUUUCUUGCUUUAAAGACCUUACUAAUCAUUACAGAGUAUUCUUAUUCUCUGCUCAAUAAUUUGGAAAUGACUUAGGUCCUGUAACUCUCUGUGUCUCUAAUUUCUGAUCUCUGUAUUCAUCCAUGCUGUCUUUAGUACAAGUAUUUAUUUAUGUAGACUUCCCUUGUUCUGUUCUUUAUGUUACAUGGAGGAAAUUCUGAGAAACUUCAUCAGUAGCACUAUGAAACUCCUUCCAUACAGAACAGUCUAGAACAGGCAUUGUCAAACUGGGCUAAAUCUGUUCUGCCAUCUGCUUUUCUAAAGAAAAUGUUGUUGGAACACAACCACGUUCAUUCAUUUCUGUAUUGUCUGUGGCAGAGAUUGACCAUCACGAUAGAGACCAUAUGAGUUGAAAAGCCUAAAACAUUUAUUACCUGGCUCUGAACAGAAAAUACUUGCUGACUUCUGGUCUGGAACAGCACUGUGUAUAUACCUCAGGUUUAAUACUGGAAGUCUCCAUUAGUCCUUCUUCAGAGGUGACUAGAGUGCACAGUCAUAAUGACAGGGCCCCAAGGACUUCUCUAACUCACACUCCCUGUCCAGUCACCUUCACUGCAACAACCAUCUUACCAAGGGGUGCUGUCACUGCUCCUGUCCACUUUCUGGCCGUCAGAUGCCUCGAGAGUUCUUCUUGCCCUUGAUAAGGAAUAAACUUGUCAGUUGCAUGUGGCAGUUUUUCAACUGAUUUGGGAGAUGAUGCAGAUUUUGCUAUUUCUUAACUUUCAAUUGUUGUGUUUUCUGGUUCUCAGUAGGGAGACAUGAAGAAAAUUGCUGAUUCCCUUCAGUUAAAUAACAGUUUAGAUUAAACCAGCAAGAACUUUUGCUCUUUAAUAAAAUGCAAAGUUACCAUGCCUUUCUCCGGCUCGAUCAUUCAUGCAUCAUAAUGUGAAUGGAGUUGUAGGAGUAUGAUGUUUAUUCUCACAAUAGGUUUAAUUCUGAGUAAAAGCACUAAUUGAAAAAUCAGAAGAAUUUUGUCUUUAAGAGCUCAUGUUAAUGCAUGCAUUCAUCCAUCUGAAUUUUGAUGAUCUCGGUUUUUUUCUGUGUAAAUUCUUAUCAGAAUGGAGUGACUCUAAAUUGCGCCCUGCUUGUAACUUUCAUGUAUGAUUUGCUCCCUUGUUGUUUACCAGCCCUUUUAAAACUACAUAGUAGAAAGAAAAUAUUUUAAACAAUGUCACAUCCAGACGGUGAUUUCUCAAAGCUUCAAAUGCAGGCUUUAAUCCUUCUCCCAGGUUAGCCAGACUCAGGCUGCUGCACAGCACUGGGGCUUUUCAGACACAUUAAGGAUUCUGGACAGGCUUCACCCCAGACACCCUUGUGCUC
rnacentral:lncRNA from 10 species